AGAUAUUUAUGUUGUUUUUGAGCUUAUGGAGUCUGAUCUUCACCAUGUUAUUAAGGCUAAUGAUGACUUGUCACAUGAACACCAUCGCUUUUUUCUAUAUCAGAUGCUACGAGCACUGAAAUAUAUGCACACAGCGAAUGUGUACCAUCGAGAUCUUAAGCCGAAAAAUAUAUUGGCAAAUGCAAACUGUAAACUCAAAAUAUGUGACUUAGGAUUGGCAAGGGUUUCAUUCAGUGAUACUCCAACCACAGCACUUUGGACGGAUUAUGUUGCUACAAGGUGGUACAGGGCUCCUGAACUAUGUGGAUCUUUCUUUUCCAAGGUAGUUCAUGCUAACAAUGUGCCACUUGCUCUGUCUUUUAUUUAAUAAUUUCUUAGCAGGAAUGGUAGUUUUUCGUGUAAUAACAAUGCACUCUUACGUCCCUUCGAAUACAUUCAUCCCGGGGGUUUGGACAAGGAGAAGGGUAUAGAGAGAAGCACCACCAAAGAUGGUGCACAUAAUUAGUUGAAAUGGAAAGUUUACAUGAACAGUUUUGUGUUCGAUUCGUUUGUCCCUCUUAGGAUUGCAGGUUUGGAGAUUCUGUAGUCAAUCAUUUUAUGCACUAGGCCAGGGAUUGAGCAUAAGUUUUAGUUAGUUUUGAUGCCAUUGAAGUAUCAUGUAUCGGUUCUUAUUUUCCAAUGGCUUUAGGAAGGCAAAAAGGUACUUGUCCCACUCUUCUUGCAGCGUCUGAUGUGCUGAUGCUACUGUUAGAAACUGUGGUAUUUUGGUUAGAAUACCAAUUUUAUAUAAGUCAAUACAUUAUAAGUGUAUUUGAGUGAUGUGUAGAUUACAACCGUUCUUGUUCAGGGAGGACAAUUGAACUCUCCUGGAAGUUGAAUUAUCUAUUCUUCAGGUAACUGUGUCAGGUCCUGCGUUAAUUUUUCUGCGGGGUCUUACUG
rnacentral:misc_RNA from 1 species